GUUAAAAGUCAGUCAUUAUGAUAACUAUGCUUCUUACAUCUGAGAAGAGGGACAUAUUUCAAACUUUCUGGCUAUCAUUUUGAAGAACUACAGGAUUCCUAAGGCAGUCAGUCCAAAUAAUAAAUGAUCUGAAAAGCUGUAGAUUGAAAGAACCAUGCCAGUUGCUCUAACUCCAGACAGAGAACGAAGAAAUCCUCUACGAGCCCCAUGGGUUUACAGAAGUCUAUCAAUCACUCUGUCAGUCUUCCGGAUCAUAAUUCAAGUUGCCUUCCCCAAUUUUGUUGGAUAUAUCAGAUCUACUCCAGCUCCAUAGGGUCCAACAAGGAGGGAUCUACUAAGUCACCCCACCAUUUUGGAUGGAUACUGAAAAGGUUAUACCCCCAGGAGUAAGGUCAGCAAGUUCCCCCAGGCCCCAGCUGGAUUCAGAGCUGUCAAGGAGCCAUGGACUGAAAUCAAAUACCUUGGAAAUCUACCUGAUGCUCUAUCCUUCUGCAGCUCAGUUGGCAAUCAAAGUACAAGAUAAAGUUCUUCCCAUCUACCCUCCCCUUUCCAGGGGCAGACAAGUCUCUUCUUAUGGCCACCACCAGCAUUACAGCCCCACAGGAGUACUGCCAUGCUACCGCUGAUGCUCAUUUAAGGCCCAAGGGCUCUUUGGUCAGCUUGUGGUGAAUGCUGCCAGGUUUGGGAAUCACCCUUCCUGGCAGUGAGUUCCCCUCUUGCCCAGAGAAGAUCCAGAAGUGCUGUAUAAGAAACAAGGCUAGAAUCAGGGACCCCAACAGCCUGCUUGGUACUCUACCCCAGUGUGUCCAAGCUGGUAUCUAAGACGCAAGAUGAAGAUCCCUUUACUUUACCCUCUGCUUUUGUCAAGCUGAAGGAAUCUCUCACUGUAGCCGCCACAGGCGGAAGUGUGCUGGGUCUCAUUUGAAGUCAGCAUAUCUCAGACUUACCUAUGGCUCAUGGUGUACUACCUGGGUAUUGCUGCUUUUCUUCAGGGCCCAAGGGCUCUUUAGUCAGCAGGUAAUAAAUCCUGCCAGGACUAGGUCCGUCACUUCAAGGCAGUGAGUCCUCUUCUGUCCCAGGGUGUGUCUAGAAAUGCUUUCCAGAAGAUAGGGCCUGGAAUAGGGGCCCCCCCAACUCUAACCAGUGCCCUAUCCUACUGUGGCUGAGCUGAUAUCCAGGAUGCAAGACAAAGUCCUCUAUAUUCUUCCCUCUCAUCUCCUCAAGCAGAAGGAUAGAGGCACUUUUGUUCCUGUGAGCCGUGCUGCCUGGGGUUUGGGGACGGGUGGUGCAAGCACACCCUUAGCCACCCCAGCUGGCAUCUCACUAGACCAUGCACCCUGCAAGUCUACUGGCUCCAAGCCUAAAACAGCACUAGGACUUGCUGAAGAAUUGCCAUCCUUGUGGCCUAGAGUACCUUUCAAGUUGACUUAGAACCCCAGAGCACUUCAGCCCAUGAGGCAAGCCUUGCCAGAACUCCUGUUCCAACCACUAGGAUGGGGAAUUCACCUCUGGCUGGGGCCAGUCUAAAUGCUUCCUCUGUGAGCAGGCAUCAGCUGUGUUCAUCCUGGUUUUGCUUUCCACUGUGACAAGGCAGCACUGCGUUCAAUGCAAAGUCUCACAACCACUUGUGCUGUCCCUCCCCAAAGUGCAAAUUUUCUCUUUACACCAUGUGGCUGCAGUCAGAGGAUGAAAGAAGGGGUGGCAUCAGAGAUUCAAGACUUUCUUUUCUACCCUUUUCAGUGCUUCUUUCAGCUAUAUGAAGUUAAAGCCAGGUACUGUGAUUACUCACCUCAUUUUUCAUUCUUAUGCGGGUGUGCGUGGAGAGUUGUCACAUUUGAUGUUCCUGUAAGGGAGAAUGAUCAGUAGAGGCUACUAUUUGGUCAUCUUGCUCCGCUCCUCCCUAGUUGCCCCAUGUCAUUUUAAAUGUAGCUCCUCAUACAUCAUAUGAAUGGACUUGAUUUAGAACCCAUUUUGAGAAACUAUUUGUUGCAUAAAUAAAGUUAACUAUUUAUGUGAA